rnacentral:rRNA from 1 species
GAUGAACGCUGGCUACAGGCUUAACACAUGCAAGUCGAGGGGAAACGCCGGGGAAGCUUGCUUCCCCGGGCGUCGACCGGCGCACGGGUGGGUAACGCGUAUCCAACCUGCCUCUGACUGAGGGAUAACCCGUCGAAAGUCGGCCUAAUACCUCAUGGCAUCGUCUGCGGGCAUCCAACGACGAUUAAAGAUUUCAUCGGUCAGAGAUGGGGAUGCGUCUGAUUAGCUUGUUGGCGGGGUAACGGCCCACCAAGGCGACGAUCAGUAGGGGUUCUGAGAGGAAGGUCCCCCACAUUGGAACUGAGACACGGUCCAAACUCCUACGGGAGGCAGCAGUGAGGAAUAUUGGUCAAUGGGCGAGAGCCUGAACCAGCCAAGUAGCGUGCAGGAUGACGGCCCUAUGGGUUGUAAACUGCUUUUAUGCGGGGAUAAAGUGAGGGACGUGUCCUUCAUUGCAGGUACCGCAUGAAUAAGGACCGGCUAAUUCCGUG